AUGGUUCAAAAGUGAAAGACGGUCUUGCUGUCACUUAUAGAUGGAUCCGCGCUGCAUUAGCUAGUUGGUAAGGUAACGGCUUACCAAGGCAACGAUGCAUAGCCGACCUGAGAGGGUGAUCGGCCACACUGGAACUGAGACACGGUCCAGACUCCUACGGGAGGCAGCAGUAGGGAAUCUUCCGCAAUGGGCGAAAGCCUGACGGAGCAACGCCGCGUGAGUGAUGAAGGUCUUCGGAUCGUAAAACUCUGUUAUUAGGGAAGAACAUAUGUGUAAGUAACUGUGCACAUCUUGACGGUACCUAAUCAGAAAGCCACGGCUAACUACGUGCCAGCAGCCGCGGUAAUACGUAGGUGGCAAGCGUUAUCCGGAAUUAUUGGGCGUAAAGCGCGCGUAGGCGGUUUUUUAAGUCUGAUGUGAAAGCCCACGGCUCAACCGUGGAGGGUCAUUGGAAACUGGAAAACUUGAGUGCAGAAGAGGAAAGUGGAAUUCCAUGUGUAGCGGUGAAAUGCGCAGAGAUAUGGAGGAACACCAGUGGCGAAGGCGACUUUCUGGUCUGUAACUGACGCUGAUGUGCGAAAGCGUGGGGAUCAAACAGGAUUAGAUACCCUGGUAGUCCACGCCGUAAACGAUGAGUGCUAAGUGUUAGGGGGUUUCCGCCCCUUAGUGCUGCAGCUAACGCAUUAAGCACUCCGCCUGGGGAGUACGACCGCAAGGUUGAAACUCAAAGGAAUUGACGGGGACCCGCACAAGCGGUGGAGCAUGUGGUUUAAUUCGAAGCAACGCGAAGAACCUUACCAAAUCUUGACAUCCUUUGACAACUCUAGAGAUAGAGCCUUCCCCUUCGGGGGACAAAGUGACAGGUGGUGCAUGGUUGUCGUCAGCUCGUGUCGUGAGAUGUUGGGUUAAGUCCCGCAACGAGCGCAACCCUUAAGCUUAGUUGCCAUCAUUAAGUUGGGCACUCUAAGUUGACUGCCGGUGACAAACCGGAGGAAGGUGGGGAUGACGUCAAAUCAUCAUGCCCCUUAUGAUUUGGGCUACACACGUGCUACAAUGGACAAUACAAAGGGCAGCGAAACCGCGAGGUCAAGCAAAUCCCAUAAAGUUGUUCUCAGUUCGGAUUGUAGUCUGCAACUCGACUACAUGAAGCUGGAAUCGCUAGUAAUCGUAGAUCAGCAUGCUACGGUGAAUACGUUCUCGGGUCUUGUACACACCGCCCGUCACACCACGAGAGUUUGUAACACCCGAAGCCGGUGGAGUAACCUUUUAGGAGCUAGCCGUCGAAGGUGGGACAAAUGAUUGGGGUGAAGUCGUAACAAGGUAGCCGUAUCGGAAGGUGCGGCUGGAUCACCU
rnacentral:rRNA from 1 species